AGAGUUUGAUCAUGGGCUCAGAACUUAACGCUAGCGGCGUGCUUAACACAUGCAAGUCGUACGAGAAAGUUUCCCUUUCGGGGAAUGAGUACAGUGGCGCACGGGUGAGUAACGCGUGGAUAAUCUGCCCUCCAGGCAGGAAUAACCCACCGAAAGGUGGGCUAAUACCGGAUGACACUGACGUGCCUCGGCACAUCAGUCAAAGAUGGCCUCUCCAUGGAAGCUGUCGCUGGAGGAUGAGUCCGCGUACCAUUAGCUUGUUGGUAGGGUAAUGGCCUACCAAGGCGACGAUGGUUAGCUGGUCUGAGAGGACGGCCAGCCACACUGGAACUGAGACACGGUCCAGACUCCUACGGGAGGCAGCAGUGAGGAAUAUUGCGCAAUGGGGGAAACCCUGACGCAGCAACGCCGCGUGAGUGAGGAAGGUCUUCGGAUCGUAAAGCUCUGUCAGAUGGGAAGAAGGCUGAAAAGUUAACAGCUUCGAUGCUUGCGGUCC
rnacentral:rRNA from 1 species